UGCACAAUAACGAGAGGGAGGUCACAAUGGUACAACAGUGAAAAUUUACAUAAACAGAGCAAAUACUCAGCUAAAACAAAAUGAACUACAAGGUUACUUUCACCAUCUUUGCUCUCUUUGCACUGUACGUACCAUCUACACAAGACCAUGGGGAGAAGAUGGAAAAAGUACGACGUGACAGAUUGACACAGAAAAGCACCAUCUCUUGUCCCUAUACAACUGCUAGGAGCUCACCCUACCCUUUGGUUUGAUUCAUUUCGAGUUGAAAUUCAUUAAAAUCUACAUUUAUGUUCAUCUUGUGGCAUACUUCUCUAAGCAGUUUCUUCAGUUAUACUUAAUGAAACUACAUCUUGUGCAGAGAUAAUGAAAGUAAGAAUAAAAAAAUGAUCCUGAUUGACCUAACCAACCAGAAUCAUAGAAACAUAAUGGUGAGAGAUGAUUGGGUUAGCUGCAUGUGUCACUUGGUAAUCAGCAAUGCAACAUAACCUCAGAUUGAUGUACCUGACUUGCAGCUUGUAGGCAGCAAUUCCUCAGUGUUGAUAUAAUGAGGCAUCCUGCCUCUAACCCCUUCCAGACUGUGGGUUCUGAAUUUUUAUCACUGACUCAAAAGAAUUCUUCUCGUCUCUCCUCAAACCUUGUAAUUGUUAUUUUGAAUCCCUCACUUGUAUGGAUUUAAGAAUCACUUGCUAAAAUAAAUGGAUCUUCCCAUUUAUUCUUUCUUAGUUGUGAAGAGUUACGUACUAAAUAAAUCUUCUCUCAAUCCCCUAUAUUUCAGAGAAAAGAAUCUCGGAAAAUGUUUCCUAACAUUUUCCAGUCACAGCGGCUUCCACGAUAACCUUGUCAGUUCAGUCGCAAAACUUUCUAUUGUGUGGAUCCAGAGCGAUGUUCAGACACCACCUGUGAGCUAACAAGCAUUUUGUGGUUCUGCCCUUGUAUUCUGUACCUCAGUAAUAAAGGUGAUUCAGCCACUGGGCCCUUGGGCUCCCCUACCCCAACCACCACUCUCCAACACUGGGUCUCUCAGGCUCCACUGUCAACUCUUGGGUCCUUGGAGCCUUCAUCUUUACCCACCCCACUUUCUAUGAACACCCUAACCCUCCCCUCUUCUCUGGCACCAACUCUUUUCCCCCCUCUAAUCCUUGUUGUGUCUUCACCAUUCCCACAGAUCUUCCCCCUCUCUGAGGAGGAACGUUCUGUCCUCAGCGAGGGCCUUAUCUUUGUCGUAUUUGCCCGCAUCUCAGUGAAUUUUGUGCCUGCCACAACACCAGGCUUUUCUUCUCUGGUCUCUGUCCCUGAGCCCACAUCUUCGACAAGAAUUCCACACCCUGCACUGAUGACCCCUUCUCCAGUCUUCAACCUUCCUCUUCUUCUUAGACACCCUGGUCUGGUUUUUUGCCAGCUCUGGAUUUUGAAUCACUGAUAAGACAUCAACCACCUUGACUUCAGCACUCCUCUCUUCUCCUCCAACCUUAUCCCCUCUGCACUCUCUCCGCACCAAUCCCAACCUUACCAUCAAACCAGCAAAUGGAGUGCUGUUGUAUUGUGGUGCACUGACCUCUACCUUGCUGAGACCAGACACGGGACCCCACUUCAGACCAUCAGAAAAUUGUAUCUGACACCAUACCUGACCUCUCAUCAGUUCUGGAGAACUCCCAUCCACUGCCAUUAAAUCAUUGACCCCACAUUGCUCACUUUUACAUCCUACCCAAGACCCACAAACCAGACUGUCUGGAUAGGCCCAUUGUCUCUGCCUGCUCCUGUCCCACUAGACUCUUGUCCUCAUUCCUUGAUUCCAUUCUACCCUUCUUGGUUUAUUCCCUUCCCACCUACAUUGGUGACACUUCUCAUGCUCUCGAUCUCCUCACUAACUUUCAGUUCUCUAGCUCUGACUGCUUCAUUUUCACCAUGAAUGUCCAGUAUACACCUCUAUUCCCAACUAAGAAGGCCUUAAGGCUCUCUGCUUCUUUCUUAAUAAAAGAACAAACCAGUUCCCCUCCACCACCAUCCUCUCCUCCUUCAUCUAGCAGAACUGGUCCUCACUGACAGACCUCAGUCCUACUCUCUGUUUCCUUAAACUUUGCCAAACUAUUGAACCCAAACUGUCUUCUCUUAAUGAAUCAAUGCUAGCUGCAUUGUAUUAACCUUUGCCAAUGUAAGCUUUAUAUUUUUGAAGUGUUCAAUAAUUUUAAUACAUAGUCUUAUGGUAAAACAAGAAUGUUUAUUGGUUUUCAAAAGCUAAGUAUUCCUUUAUUCAUUAUUAUUGGAGUAUUAAGAUUGGUUUACCAUUAUGUUCAAAUAGCAGUUCACCAAUGCUGAAUCACAUAAUCUGAUAAUAUUGUAUAUUAUUAUAAUAUAAUAUAUAGCCAAUAAAAUGUUCCCAUUGCUUUGAAUUAUAAUGCAUUUUAAAGGAAGAGUUAAAUAGAGGGAGCAGGGAUGGUUUACCUGCAUUGAUAUCAUUGUAUUCAGAAAAGCAUUAAUGAGUUGAAUUUCACAGCGUGCGGAAAUGUCUGAUCUCAAUUUAAUUCCUGCGGUUCAGAUAGUGAAACAGCUGGCUAGCUGCCAGAUGAAAAUCAUCUUCAUCAAAGGCGGUGUUGCGCAACUGUACAAAAUUGCAGUGGAAGAACCAGCAAGCAGAUGUGAAGAAGUUCAUGAACUUUAAUGUUUGCGCGUACUGGAAAAAUACAACAUAUGAAAAUAAUUAAUUUCUUGCUAGCUCAUCCCAGUGGAACGGUGAACUUAAAUGCUUUUAAAACAAACAAUGUCCCAUCAGAUUCAGGAACCAGUCAUUAUUGUGUUUGUCUAACUAUAUGCAUGAAUUUGUAAAUGAACACCAAUUCAAAUAAAGAUCACCUCAUUAUUACUA